CAAUAAUAUACUUAGGCUCAGUAGUGGACAGAGCAACGAUAUGUUGGAGUUGUGAUUUGCAACUCACACAAGAGUCACUCAAAGUAAACACAUAAGAAGAUGUCGACUUCCUAUUAUCUCUAUCUCUACUAUAGUCAGCAUCUACAAAACCUUUAAGGUUCACAACUUCAACAACAGACGCAUAAACUAACCCCUCAUCAAAAGUACUCCUCAAAUACCUAAGCAACCAAUUUAACGCUUCCCAAUAUUUAGGACCAAGAUUUUAAUACACUCACAGUGAAGCCAAAUCAGAUCUAAUGCAGACCAUAAGGUACAUAAUAGAGCAAAUGGUAUUAGAAUUAGGAAUUCCACUGAUAUGGUACAUAAUAGAGUUUGAUGUACAAAUAAGCAAGAAUUGGACCUAUCUCUUUUUAUAUCCAUUGUAAGGAUUCUCCUAGCAUUUCCUAGGUCUUUUAUGUCAAAUUCUUUACUUAAAAUAUACUGAUCGUCUGAUGAAUGGUAUAAUGGAAGUGAAUUAGUUUUAAUCUUGUUUACCAAUUUCAUAUUAGGCCUAAUUAAUAACACAGCGUCCUUAUAAAGUAACAAAUACACACACUCUUUAUUAGUGUAAUGGUGCAUGUAAUACAAGUAAUGGUCAGAUUCACACAUCUUCAAACUUAUAGAAAUCAAAUUUCUUAUACCACUGACAUAAAUACCGUUUUAACUCGUAAAGCGAUUUCUUUAAAAGUACGAACGAUCAGGUUUACCUUUACUUUAAAAAUCUUUGGGUUGAUUCAUGAAAAUCUUCUCAUCAAUGUCACCAUGCAAAAAGUAGUUUUGACAUCAAGUUGUUCAAGUUCUUAGUCAUAGUUAGCAACAAAAGUAAACAUGACUUUAAUAGUGGUAUACUUAUCAGCUGGCAAG
rnacentral:lncRNA from 1 species